UACGGGGGGGGGCAAGCGUUGUUCGGAAUCAUUGGGCGUAAAGAGCGUGUAGGCGGUCCGGUAAGUCCGCUGUGAAAGUCGGGGGCUCAACCCUCGAAUGCCGGUGGAUACUGUCGGGCUAGAGUGCGGAAGAGGCGAGUGGAAUUCCUGGUGUAGCGGUGAAAUGCGCAGAUAUCAGGAGGAACACCUAUUGCGAAGGCAGCUCGCUGGGACGUAACUGACGCUGAGACGCGAAAGCGUGGGGAGCAAACAGG
rnacentral:rRNA from 1 species